rnacentral:rRNA from 1 species
UACGUAGGGUGCGAGCGUUGUCCGGAAUUACUGGGCGUAAAGGGCUUGUAGGUGGUUUGUCGCGUUGUUCGUGAAAACUCAAGGCUUAACUUUGGGCGUGCGGGCGAUCCGGGCAGACUGGAGUACUGCAGGGGAGACUGGAAUUCCUGGUGUAGCGGUGGAAUGCGCAGAUAUCAGGAGGAACACCGGUGGCGAAGGCGGGUCUCUGGGCAGUAACUGACGCUGAGGAGCGAAAGCGUGGGGAGCGAACAGG